ACUUCUCACGCGUAGCAACACUAAAUUGUCACCGCCGCCGCCUUCUUCGACAGCGCUCAAGCUUCCCGCUCAGGCCAUGCCGGAGCGCCUCCGACGUCGUUUUCCGAUUCAUCAGGAGAGCAAGCCACGUUAUUUACCGGAACUUUGGAACGACGUGAGACGUUCCCGUGCUGGAACGCCGGUUCCGGCCGUUCCACGCCCGUUCCGACGAACCAUGUCCUCAUUCGACUGAUCCAAAACAUCUGCGAGUGAUUUCUCCUUUUGCAGCAACUGAUCCAAAACAUCUUCUUCCUCCUCUUCUGAUUUGGAGUAAUCCACAGCAGUGGUCACCUCUUGCGAGUUCGUCCAUCUUCUUCCUUCCCUGCCGUCUGCCCAUCGAAGCAGACCUAGGGUUUGGAGCAGGGGACCUUGUCGCGCCAACUUACUGAAACGACGGGUCUGGAAGUUGUUCAGGGAUUGUUUGACAUAUACUAGUCAAGAUCUGACUUGUAGGCACGAAGACCAAGAAUUUUGAGGUGUAUGAUAUUUGCUUUGUGGAAAAGCCAACAAAUAUUCAUCCUGUAUUUAGUUGAAUGAUAUUCAUCUCCAACAUGCGGGCUCUCAGAAACUUACAAAGACACUGCUGGAAAAGUGCUUCACUUCUCGGAAAGAGGUGUUAUUCACAUGGGAAUAUAUGCUUGAAAACGUGGCCGAAUAAUGUGCACUCAGUGCUGCCUAGAGAAGUUUAUUGUAAUUCUAUCAACCAGUUGGGUUCAACUUCUGGGCAUCGAUUUAUGUCGACAACAAGAGGAAGAAGCAUGCAGAGCAAGGUGGAGAAGAGAAUGCGAAGAGAAACAGGAAAAACUUUAAAAGAGAUCAGACGUGCAAAAAAAAUAAGAAAGAAGUUAAUGACAGAAGAGGAAAGGCUACUAUACAACUUACGGAGAGCCAAGAAAAAGGUGGCAUUGCUUCUUCAAAAGCUCAAAAAAUAUGAAUUGCCAGAGUUACCACCUCCUCGGCAUGAUCCUGAACUACUUACUCUUGAGCAACUUCAGGCUUAUAAGAAGAUAGGUUUCAGAAAUAGAAAUUAUGUUCCUGUUGGAGUUCGUGGGGUCUUUGGAGGAGUAGUUCAAAACAUGCAUCUCCAUUGGAAGUUUCAUGAGACUGUGCAAGUUUGUUGUGACAAUUUUCCUAAGGAAAAAAUCAAAGAAAUGGCAACCAUGAUAGCAAGAUUAAGUGGCGGCAUUGUUGUUAAUAUACACGAUGUGAAAACCAUUAUUAUGUUUCGUGGACGAAAUUACAGACAACCAAAGAAUCUGAUACCAAUCAACACCCUGACUAAAAGGAAGGCCCUAUUCAAAGCCAGAUUUGAGCAGGCUCUUGAAUCUCAAAAGUUGAACAUCAAAAAAAUUGAGCAAGAGCUAAGACGCAAGGGUGUCAAUCCAGAGGACCCAAUUGCCAUGGCUAGCAUUCAGAGAAUUGCUACUACAUUUUUUAGGGCUAUUGAUGAGAAACAAGGGACUCCAUAUAUAUUCCAUGGGGAUAAACCAUCCACAGCAGAAAUUGUUGAUAAUCUAGAUGAGUCUAUUGAUGUACCUUCUGAGGACAGUGACCAGGAGGAACUCGACCGCUUUAUUCGAGAGAUUGAAGAUGCUGCAGACAAAGAGUGGGAAGAGGAGGAAGCGGUAGAGAAAGAGGAACUUUCAAGAAUUAGGUAUUGGGGAAAAGAUGACAUGGGUCGGUCAAGCAGGGCACCAAAUUGGAGAAGUGAUAAUUCAGAAGAUGAGGAUAGGGCUCAUGUAAGGCGUUGGAAUGGUACUUCUACUGGAUUGGGAAAUACAGAGAGGAAAAAUUGGGAUAGUGACAAUGACAUGUCCACAGCUUCAGAAGACGAGUGGGAUUAUGAUGACAAAGUGAGUGAUGCUACAAUUGAUGUUGAUAGACAUAACUCCUAUAGUAAAAACGGGACUCGAGAAAGAGAGACAAAUAAAAUAAAACAGAGAAAAAGCAGGGCUGCCCCAAAGGAACAUUUGAGAGAUAGAGCUAGUGUUGAAACCAGAUGGAGAGAACAUGAAGAUAUCAGCCUAGAUGGUGAUGUUUUGGGAGAUUCAGAAGAUGCGGUUGGGGAAUCAGAAGAUGAGGACGGACACAAUUUUGUGGAAUCAACAAUGGGCCCUUAUGAUUAUCUCAGCAAUGAAGACUCAGAAGACAACGAUAGCGGGAGUAGACAGAAGAUAGGUGCGCUUGAUGAGAAAAAGGGUGAUGAAAGUUGGGAUAGUGAUUAAUCAAUUAGGUGCCAACCUGUAACUCAUUUUAUAUGCAGGUGAAUGGAAGUAGCAAUUGAAAAUUGAAAUAGAAAAGCGUAUCUUGGAAAGAGUGAGAAAGAGUAGGAUACAUGGGAAGGUGGCAGAGCCUUUUGCAGCAUUCUUGAAUGGUAGGAUACUUUGUUUCGUCAUUAGAGAUUUUCUGAUCAUACAUGAGAAUGUAAUAUUGAAUGUAUUGCUUUUGAUCAUGAGAUAUUGAAUUUCAUUGAGUGGCAUAAACUGACUGACAAGUGAAGUCUGGUU